UUCGGAAUGAAACCUGAUAUGACUUAGUGGCGGACGGGUGAGUAACACGUGAACAACCUGCCUUUCAGAGGGGGAUAACGGCUGGAAACGGUCGCUAAUACCGCAUGAUGUGUUCGGAUGGCAUCAUCUGAACAUCAAAGAUUUAUCGCUGAAAGAUGGACUCGCGUCCGAUUAGCCAGUUGGCGGGGUAACGGCCCACCAAAGCGACGAUCGGUAGCCGGACUGAGAGGUUGAACGGCCACAUUGGGACUGAGACACGGCCCAGACUCC
rnacentral:rRNA from 1 species